rnacentral:snRNA from 8 species
UUUUUUGCUUGGUAGGGGAGGCACCGUGGUCAUGGAAGGGGGUUUUCUAGAGUGAAGCCAAUCCUUUGCACUCCAGAUGUGCUGAUCCCUGUAAUUUCCUAGGAACUUCAGCUGCAUAAUUUUUGGCAGGAUGAGACUGUGUACCUUUCUCUGG